CAUUAAGGAAGGAAUCUUCCAGGCCCCCUUGCUGGGCAACUCUCUUGCGAUUAAAAACAAACAGGUCCAUCAGGGCAUCUGGCACAAACUAGUGAGGAAGACUCAGCUUUUCCUACGUGCUGCACACAGCUUGCCAUCUACCCACAACAUUUUAUGAAUGGCUGACAUGUACUCCAGUGAUGCCGCUUAGUCGAGCAGCUUAUAAUGAACAACAAGCAUGAAAAGCUGAGGAAGACACAUUUUCAAGAGGAGUGCAGAGAUUAGCGUGCAGUUCCUUCUGACUCACUUGGAAGCCUCCUAUGCUUAUGGUUUCAUUUUUCUAACUGCUUACACCAAGACUUCCUGGUGAUUUUGUGUCCGGAAUUUAUUCCUUCUUGUGGGUUCUUGGUCUCACUGACUUCAAGAAUGAAGCCGUGGACCCUCGCAGUAUGCGUUACAGCUCUUAAAGAUGGUGUGUCCAGAGUUUGUUUCUUCAGAUGUUCAGAUGUCUCUGGAGUUGCUUCCUUCUGGUGGGUUCGUGGUCUCGCUGACUUCAGGAGUGAAGCUGCAGACUUUCGCAGAUACACUCCAAGCCCCUGGUGGAUGCCUGACACUGUGGAUACUCCCAAACCUAUCUACACCACGCUGGUUUGAUCUGACAACCUAGACAGCUACUGAGUGACUGAGAGCACACAAGCCUACCAGCAUGGAGACACGGGACAAAGAGAUGGUUCAAGAUUUCAUCAUGUGACUCACAAUGGCACCCAAUUUAAAACUUAUAAAUUGUUUAUUUCUGGAAUUUUUCAUUUAAUGUUUCUGCACUACAGUUCACUGCAGGUAAUGGAAACUGCAGAAAGUGAAAUAGAAGAAAAGGAAAAUGACUGGACUGCAGGGGACAGAAAGCUGCCAAUGGCCAUGCAAUUGGUGAAGUGGAUUCUUCCCCAGUCAAGCCCCCAGUAAAUUAAGUUGGCUGUGAAACAUGAAAGCACAUUUGGCUCAUAAUACAAACAAAAGUGCAUAACUUCAUGAAGUUCUUUCAAAUCUACCCAUGUGGCAAAACACAAAAGUGUGUGAGACCCGCAAGUCUGCAGAUGAAGAAGCCUGGAGCAAGUCCUAUGAGGAAGAACCUUUGAAGAGGGCAUGCACGCUCCCAGCCAGGACAGCUGGGGAAGGCAGCGCAGAGGAAGCAUACAUGGGCCCGAAGAGAUUCGGGACAUAUUGUGAAACUGAUUUUUUAACAGGAACUGGCUGAUGCAUUAUCAAAAUAAAGAUUUUUAUUUUUUCCAGU